rnacentral:rRNA from 1 species
CGCAGACCAGCCAUGAGCGAAUCUGCCUAUGAGAGGGGGAUAUAAUUUCGAAAGGAAUGCUAAUACCGCAUACGCCCUACGGGGGAAAGCAGGGGAUCUUCGGACCUCGCGCUAUUAGAUGGGGCUAGGUCUGAUUAUCUAUUUGGGGGGGUAAAGGCCCACCAAGGCGACGAUCUGUAGCGGGGCUGAGAGGAUGAUCCGCCACACUGGGACUGAGACACGGGCCAGACUCCUACGGGAGGCAGCAGUGGGGAAUAUUGGACAAUGGGCGAAAGCCUGAUCCAGCCAUGCCGCGUGUGUGAAGAAGGCCUUCUGGUUGUAAAGCACUUUUUUGGAGGAGGAGGCUACUGUGGGUAAUACCCCCGGAUAGUGGGCGUGACUCGGAAAAAAAGCCCCGGUUAACUCUGGGCCCGCAGCCCGGGAAAAACAGAGGGGGGAAGGGUAAUUCGGAAUUCUGGGGGGAAAGGGGGCGGAAGGGGGUUUAUAUAAGUCGAGAUGAAAAAUCCCUGAGCUUACCUUGGGAAUCUGCAUUCGAAGACUGUGAAGCUAGAGUAUGAGAGAGGAUGGGAGAAUUCCAGGGUGUAGCGAGUGAAAUGCGUAGAUAUGUGGAGGAAUACCGA